CCUACGGGAGGCAGCAGUGAGGAAUAUUGGUCAAUGGGCGCUAGCCUGAACCAGCCAAGUAGCGUGAAGGAUGACUGCCCUAUGGGUUGUAAACUUCUUUUAUAUGGGAAUAAAGUGCAGUAUGUAUACUGCUUUGCAUGUACCUUAUGAAUAAGGAUCGGCUAACUCCGUGCCAGCAGCCGCGGUAAUACGGAGGAUCCGAGCGUUAUCCGGAUUUAUUGGGUUUAAAGGGAGCGUAGGCGGGUUGUUAAGUCAGUUGUGAAAGUUUGCGGCUCAACCGUAAAAUUGCAGUUGAUACUGGCAGCCUUGAGUACAGUAGAGGUAGGCGGAAUUCGUGGUGUAGCGGUGAAAUGCUUAGAUAUCACGAAGAACUCCGAUUGCGAAGGCAGCCUGCUAGACUGUAACUGACGCUGAUGCUCGAAAGUGUGGGUAUCAAACAGGAUUAGAUACCCCAGUAGUC
rnacentral:rRNA from 1 species